AGAUUAAGUAAGAGGUGAAAUUCCGAGGCUCAACCGCGGGACUGCCCUGGAAACUGUGCGGCUGGAGUGCCGGAGAGGUAAGCGGAAUUCCUAGUGUAGCGGUGAAAUGCGUAGAUAUUAGGAGGAACACCAGUGGCGAAGGCGGCUUACUGGACGGUAACUGACGUUGAGGCUCGAAAGCGUGGGGAGCAAACAG
rnacentral:rRNA from 1 species